GUCCUAUCCACUGGACUGCCAGGGGAGUCCCUUCAGCUCCCUAUCUUCAAGUCACUCCAGACAUGAACUGCUCCCACUGAGACCUGGGAGCAAAAUUAAUGUUGCUUUAAAUCACUGAACUUUAGCUUAUUGUUACUGGGCAAUAGGUGACUGAAACGCCCUCAGACUCUCACUCGAGGACAACAUGCUGAAUUUGACUGGAUGUCAUGUUGGGGAUGAGGACCCUUUGGCUUUGAUUAACCAUAGGUUGAGCCAUGAGGUGAGGCACCAGGUGGCUGGCACCUUGAUUGCAGCCUCGAGAGAGACCCUGAGGAGGGGCCCCAGCUAAGCCCUUGCCUGGACGCCUGACCCACAGAAACUGGGAGAUAAUAGGGCUGCCCCGGUGGCUCAGCUGGAGGCCAGAAGCCAGAGGAGUCACAGGAAUAUGCCUGCAAUACAGGAGUCACAGGAGACACUGAUUUCUGGGUUGGGAAGAUUCCCUGGGGGAGAGCAUGGCCAUCCACU